ACGUAGGGUGCAAGCGUUGUCCGGAAUUAUUGGGCGUAAAGAGCUCGUAGGCGGUCUGUCACGUCGGCUGUGAAACCCCGAGGCUCAACCUCGGGCCUGCAGUCGAUACGGGCAGACUAGAGUUCGGUAGGGGAGACUGGAAUUCCUGGUGUAGCGGUGAAAUGCGCAGAUAUCAGGAGGAACACCGGUGGCGAAGGCGGGUCUCUGGGCCGAAACUGACGCUGAGGAGCGAAAGCGUGGGGAGCGAACAGGAUUAGAUACCCUGGUAGUCCACGCCGUAAACGUUGGGCGCUAGGUGUGGGAUCCCUUCCACGGGUUCCGUGCCGCAGCUAACGCAUUAAGCGCCCCGCCUGGGGAGUACGGCCGCAAGGCUA
rnacentral:rRNA from 1 species